UUUCAAUAUUGAACAAAAAGUAUAAUUUAUUAAAAUUUAUAUUUAAAUUGGGUAUUUUGCAAUAUUACAUAUCUCCAUCUAACAUAACUUAUUGUUCAAUAAAUAUUUUCAGUAAAUUUAAGUAGACAAUUUGAAAAUUGAAAGUCUUUAACAUAAAUUAUUAUAUUUUAUUCGUUUAUAUUAUUUAAUUAAACCAAAUUUAAGUAUGAGUAUUGAAACCAAAAUUAUAGCA